rnacentral:tRNA from 1 species
GCUUCUAUGGCCAAGUUGGUAAGGCGCUACACUAGUAAUGUGGAGAUCAUCAGUUCAAAUCUGGUUGGAAGCA